rnacentral:rRNA from 1 species
AUUGAACGCUGGCGGCAUGCCUUACACAUGCAAGUCGAACGGUAACAGGUCUUCGGAUGCUGACGAGUGGCGAACGGGUGAGUAAUACAUCGGAACGUGCCUAGUUGUGGGGGAUAACUACUCGAAAGAGUGGCUAAUACCGCAUGAGAUCUACGGAUGAAAGCAGGGGAUCGCAAGACCUUGUGCUACUAGAGCGGCCGAUGGCAGAUUAGGUAGUUGGUGGGAUAAAAGCUUACCAAGCCGACGAUCUGUAGCUGGUCUGAGAGGACGAUCAGCCACACUGGGACGGAGACACGGCCCAGACUCCUACGGGAGGCAGCAGUGGGGAAUUUUGGACAAUGGGCGCAAGCCUGAUCCAGCAAUGCCGCGUGCAGGAUGAAGGCCUUCGGGUUGUAAACUGCUUUUGUACGGAACGAAAAGCCCCGGGUUAAUACCCUGGGGUCAUGACGGUACCGUAAGAAUAAGCACCGGCUAACUACGUGCCAGCAGCCGCAGUAA